UACUAGUAUGUAAUGAACUCUUAGCUGAUGCAUUUCACACAUAUUCCUAUCUCAUCCAUAACGUAUCUUUAAGUCAUAAGGACCAAGAGGAAGAAGCAGUGGGAACCAGCCAGAAACACGAUCCACCACCAUCAUGAUUUCCAAGGCCGUAAAAUCCAUGUUGAAGGAAGUAGAUUCUAACGGUAGCCUGAUUCCAGUGUCCAGUCUGAACGACAGCUCUGGUAAACUAAAUCUCCUCUCACUCAUUGUGAAGACCAGGCCCAGAUAUGGAUGUUUCUGGCAGGAACCGAAAUACCAGUCCAGAGGCUUUUCCCUGAGUGAUGUGCUGAAACCCGGAGAACCUGAAGACAAACCUUUAAACCCAGAUGUCAAGGAGUCUGACUUCGUGGACCACAGUGGGACAUUUGGUGAUAUAGAAGAAAUGAAGGCAGGAGGAAAUGUGGAGGGAUUGUUGGCUGAUUUAAAACUUAACGUGGCCUUAAAAUACUCAAACGAACAAGAGUCGUCCUUUGGCAGACUGAAGAAAGAGGAGGUGAAAGUGAAGGAGGUGGUUAACUACGCGAAAGACAAACGCCUGGACAUGACCCACCCUGUGAUCAAGCAGACCCGGGAGAAGCCCAGGGCAAUAUUAGGGGUGUUGACGGAGAGGAUUAUGACAUCACAACCUUGCCAGGUCACAAACAAAGUCCGGAAGCGUGGCAAUGCAGCAGCCAACAUGAGCGCCCUGAGCGUGAAGGACUCUAUGAAGCAGAGUGGCAGUACUCAGACAGAAAGUGAUGUGUCACUGAAGAUUCCUGAAUAUACUGUCGUGGCCUUCAGUCUGAUUGAACUCAAGGUCAAAUGCAAUGGACAGUUUGAGCUGUGCCUCUUCUCCAACAAUGGGGGCUUUGAAAAGGUUACAUCAAAGGAUGACAUUGAAGCGGAUGGAAUUAUGGACCUGGGAGGUGACUUUGAUGCCAACAGCCCCUUAAAUCUGAACGAAGAACUGGAGAAACUGAGGGGUCAUUUCCAGCUGCUGUCAGUCCUGCCAGUAGACACACGUUCCUCUCUGCUCCAGCUCCUCAAGACAACCAUGGAGGACAGAGAGGCAGUCAGUGCGCUGGAGAGUGUGCUGGAUCAGUUGUGUGAAGGUGAGACUCCUGACUUGGGUGACCUGGAAGAGUCUGAGAGGGAAACAGUCCAGGCCAUACUGGAUCUUGUAGACCAAUGUGUUGGGAAGGAUGAGGACGUGAUCAGAUCCUCACUUCUCAGUGCCGUCCACCUCAUUGUCAGUGCCAUGGACGGAAUGACAGAUGAGGGUCUCUCUGUGUUGGGAUCCUGUUGCAGUCCUCCAGUCUUACAGGCCCUGCAGAUCCUGGUGCAGCAUGUGGCAGCAGGGAGUGGGGAGACCCUCUCUCUGAGAGAUGCAGGUCUGGCUGUUCUGACUGAGGAGGAGCUGUAUCAGAGGACAGAGAGUCUCUUUGCCCUCUCCAAUGUGGAACUUACCAGAUUGAAUGAGGACGCAGAAUUCACAGUGACUUCAGUUAUCUGCCCUGGACACCUUCUUCUUGUCAUGAGUAUCGCUGUGAAUGGCCUGGCCUCUUUAGGAUAGAUUGAGCCGAAUAGAAACAUUCCUUGUGCUACAAAGUGAAUAUAUGAACUGCACCGCCAGGUCCUCUCAAGCUCUGUCCAGGGUUGUUCAAUCGGGUUCAAGUCCGGGCUCUGGCUGUGCCACUCAAGGACAUUCAGAGACUUGUCCCGAAGCCACUCCUGCAUUGUCUUGACUGUGUGCUUAGGGUUGUUGUCCUCUUGGAAGGUGAACCUUCACCCCAGUCUGAGGUCUUGAACACUCUGGAGCAGGAUUUCUUCAAGGAUCUCUCUGUACUUUUGUUGGGGAAUAAUCAGAAUUGGUGAGUAACAUAGAUAAGAUGUUUUAUAUUCAUCAUAUGCUUGAGUUAUUUCUCAUAAGAAUGUAUUUUGUUGUACUAUAGUGGUGGCCAUUGGCAGUUAUCUGUUCUAUGUCAAGACUAAGUUGCAUGGGCCGCAGAAAGGGGAGAGUUGUCAAGGGGUCAUCAUGUGUAAACAUAUCUUUUGCUCUUUUGCUCCACUGUGUCGGUGUGCCAGUCACUCCCUACUUUUCUCAUCGGGGAAAGGAGGAUGGCAGGGUCUGGAAUCAUUCUAUGCUCCCUCUUUGUUGACCUAUAGGGUCACUCUCCUCUCCGUGAGUUUGUCCUGGAUUGGUUGUAUUUAGAAUUGGUUCUAUCUAAAUGACAAUUUGAUAUAUAUCAUAGGGUGGGGGUAAUGUCUUGGUACCAUCUUGUACCAAGGACGAGAUAAGAGCUUUGUUUAGGAGACCAAACUGAACGAUAAUUUAUAGCCAACUCUGUCUGACUAGGGGAUAUUCCUCUGAAGUAAAGUCUUUCUCUGUGUAAGUUCCUAAGACCUGUGUUUUGUCAUGUCGUCUAGGAGGGGUGGAUCUUUGCUAUAAAGGAACCCAUUUGCCAUUAUGUUGGAGACUCUCAACUUUUCAUUAGAGAUACUGAACUGUUGAAAGUCAAAAUGCUAUUGCAAAAGCUUCAUUAUUAUUAAAAGUGAAGAUUAAGCAUAACUCUGACUCGUGUGAUUUGCUCUCUCAUCAUUUGGUAAUUAAGGAAAUUUCCACGACACUUUGCUCAGAUCAUCUUUCACUCGAUCCGGGCUAGUCUCCCAGUCCCUGCCGCUGAAAAACACCCCCACAGCAUAUGCUGCCACCCCAAUGCUUCACCGUAGGAAUGGUGCCAGGUUUUCUCCAUAUGUUGUGCUUGGCAUUCAGGCCAAAAAGUUCAAUAUUGGUUUCAUCAGACCCAAGAACCUUUUUCUCAUGGUCAGAGUCCUUUAGGUGCCUUUUGGCAAACUCCAAGUGUGCUGUCAUGUGCCUUUUACUGAGGAGUGGCUUCCGUCUGGCCACUACCUUAAAGGCCUGAUUUGUGGAGUGCUGCAGAGAUGGUUGUCCUUGAGGAUGGUUCUCCCAUCUCCACAGAGGAACUCUGGAGCUCUGUCAGAGUGACCAUCAGGUUCUUGGUCACCUCCCUGACCAAGGCCCUUCUCCUCUGAUUGCUCAGUUUGGCCGGCCGGCUCGCUCUCGGAAGAGUCUUAGUGGUUCCAAACUUCUUGUAACGGGUUUACAAGUCAUAAAGAAAUACAAUGACAUCGUAGUAUAAUUAAGUUGUUCCUUCUCUCUCUCUAACAAUAUCCAUCCCUCUCCACCCCCCCUCCCUGUUAUCCCCCCUUAACCCCACCAAAGCCAUGCUUAACCCCAUCUGCCAUCAUUACUCCCCCUUGCCUCCCCAAGCCAAGCUUGUCCCACCCUUCCAUCCUUACCCUCUUAUCCACCAGACCCAGUUUAUCACCACCUCCCCUCUACUUCCUCAUUCAUUCUCCUUCAUUCACACACAACAUAUAGCUUAGUCCUCCACACACCCAUUCUCUCCCACCCUCCUACACAUAUUCAUAUUCACCCUCCCAUUCGUAUGUAUAGACACAUACCCACACAUACACCCACUCAUACCCUCUCACCCACACACACACACUGUUACGAAUCCCUUUUGGCCCGACAGUCUAGGGGGGAUGGUAAUGAGACUCGUAACAUAACUCAUGCAAAUUAUUAUUGUGACAAAGGAAAAGUGUGAACGAAAUAAGCACGACAACUGAAAUCUACCGUCAAACUCUAGGUUUAUUUAUAAACACACGGUAAUGGGGGGAGCAGGAAAAGGGGCUGAGCUGGACCCAAGGAAAGAAACAAUAAGUAUUCAAAAACACCCUUAAGCUAGACUAGCCUACUUUAACAACAGCUAACUAACUAACCAAAAAUACAGUGGGUGGUCCGCCCAGUUCUAACUAGUGUAUUUAACAAAGUUCACCUACGGGUAGUGUAUGCCCAUGGGCGACUUGUCUUGGUUUCCCCCUUUUCCACCAGCAAUCAAACACAAACACCAUAACCAAAAACAAUACUCACAGGUGAUGACAAAGUGCUAUGAGGUGCUUAAACAAAAGAGAGGUUACGACACAAAGCGAGAGUGAAACACAGAGACCUACAGACAUGGCAUUUACAGAGAGAUUGAGCUGAGCUGAGCUGGGCUGAGCUCUAGAACAAACAAAUGGGGUUUUUAAACCAUGGGGAAAGAACUGUGAUAGGUUUAGGAAAUAUGAGGAGGUGUGUCUUCUGAUUGAUGAUUGAUUGUUGACUGAUUGGGGAGUGAUGAUUUUCACCUGUGAGGGGAGAAGGAGAGAAAAGAAACACACACACAGGAUACACACACACACAGGAUAACUGUAUCCGUAACACUCCCACCCUUAAAAGAGCAACCCUAGGGGUUGCGACUACAGUAUUUCAAUUAAUACUCCCAACAAAGCAACACUCUUGCAAAACAUGCAGAAAUCAUUUUCACACACGAGACAAAGCAUCUGCCAACACAUUAUCAGAACCCUUUUUGUGGCGGAUCUCCAAAUUAUAAUUUUGUACAAUCAGCGCCCAACGCAUAAGGCGCUGGUUCUGGUUGUACAUUCGGUGGAGAAAAACUAAGGGGUUAUGGUCAGUAUAUACAAUCACGGGUAGGGCACUGGAACCAAUAUAUACUUCAAAGUAUUGCAGAGCCAACAACAAAGCAAGAGCUUCUUGUUCUAUUGUCGCAUAGUUUGUUUGACAUUUAUUCAAUUUACGUGAAAAAUAACAAACGGGAUGAUCCACUCCACUCUUGUCCUGCUGCAGUAGAACAGCACCAGCACCUCUGGCACUAGCAUCUACCUCAAGUUUGAACGGUUGUUCAAAAUCAGGAGCAGCAAGUACAGGUGUACUACAUAAGAGUGCUUUCGCUGAUUCAAAAGCUCUCUUACAAUCAGGGGACCACUCAAAUGAUCUAGCCGGACUAAGCAAAUCGGUCAAUGGAGCAACUACCGCAGAGAAAUUUUUACAGAAGCUACGGUAGUAGCCAACCAUCCCUAAAAAGCGGCGUAGCUCUCGUCUGGUGGUAGGUGCAGGGAAUGCAGUUAUAGCCAAGACCUUGGCAUUAACAGGGCGCACCUGUCCAUGCUUUUCAGAGGUAUCACACAAUCCAUCCUCUUGAUCAACCUCUUUGAACAGAACAGUGUUCGACAAAUCUCUCUCAUCACCCUCUUGUCGUGCCUGAGCACGAGUGACAGCACAAGCGGGGAACACAUGUGGAUAAUUCUGUGCCAGCUCAUUCGAGAGAGAGUGGUCACUUUUAUCCAAUACUUCCAAUACGGGUACUACCUUUCCUCCGGCAAUAUCGUUACCCAUUAUGAAGGUCACACCUUUC